rnacentral:rRNA from 1 species
GAUGAACGCUGACAGAAUGCUUAACACAUGCAAGUCUUUGGCGAAGCUGUGCUUGCACAGCCUAGCCAAGGCGGACGGGUGAGUAACGCGUAAGGAACUUACCCUGCAGUCAGGGAUAACAGACGGAAACGACUGAUAAGACCUGGUAAAGUCAGGCGGACUCAUGUCCAGCCUGAUGAAAAGAGAUGCUGCAGGAGAGCCUUGCGUCCUAUUAGCUUGUUGGUGGGGUAACGGCCCACCAAGGCGAUGAUAGGUAGCCGGCCUGAGAGGGUGGACGGCCACAAGGGGACUGAGAUACGGCCCUUACUCCUACGGGAGGCAGCAGUGGGGAAUAUUGGACAAUGGGGGCAACCCUGAUCUAGCAAUUCUGUGUGCACGAUGAAGGUUUUCGGAUUGUAAAGUGCUUUCAGCAGGGAAGAAAAAAAUGACGGUACCUGCAGAAGAAGCGACGGCUAAAUACGUGCCAGCAGCCGCGGUAAUACGUAUGUCGCAAGCGUUAUCCGGAAUUAUUGGGCAUAAAGGGCAUCUAGGCGGCCAGAUAAGUCUGGGGUGAAAACUUGCGGCUCAACCGCAAGCCUGCCCUGGAAACUAUGUGGCUAGAGUACUGGAGAGGUGGACGGAACUGCACGAGUAGAGGUGAAAUUCGUAGAUAUGUGCAGGAAUGCCGAUGAUGAAGAUAGUUCACUGGACGGUAACUGACGCUGAAGUGCGAAAGCUAGGGGAGCAAACAGG